UCUCUGGUGGUCCAGUGGCUAAGACUCUGCACUCCCAGUGCAGGGGAUCCAGGUUCGAUACCUGGUCAGGGAA
rnacentral:tRNA from 1 species